AUGCUCUGGUUUCACUUCAAAUCGAACAAAUCUUUCGCCUUUUACUAAAGAUUUCCGUGGAGAGAAACCAUCAAGAGUUGUUUGACAAUUUUUAGAAACCUUGCUAAGGCAAGGUU
ensembl:snRNA U5 U5 spliceosomal RNA